AUUGAACGCUGGCGGCAGGCCUAACACAUGCAAGUCGAACGAGUGGCGGACGGGUGAGUAAUGUCUGGGAAACUGCCUGAUGGAGGGGGAUAACUACUGGCAACGGUAGCUAAUACCGCAUACCAUCAGAUGUGCCCAUAUGGGAUUAGCUUGGUGGUGGGGUAACGGCUCACCAACGCGACGCGCCCUAGCUGGUAUGAGAGGAAGACAAGCCACACUGGAAGUGAGACACGGUCCAGACUCCUACGAGAGUAAGCAGGGGGGAAUAUUGCACAAUGGGCGCAAGCCUGAUGCAGCCAUGCCGAGUGUAUGAAGAAGGCCUGCGGGUUGUAAAGUACUUUCAGCGGGGAGGCGUGACCCGCAGAAGAAGCACCGGCUAACUCCGUGCCAGCACCGCGGUAAUUC
rnacentral:rRNA from 1 species